AAGAAAGAAAAUCAAGGCAAACCGUUGGCCAAAGACAUCAAGAAGGAAACAAUUGUUUCUGGUGUAGUAAAUUGUGGAUAUGUUAAUGGUCCAAAGAGGAGAGCUGUCAUCAAGGCUAGAAAUGCAGCAUUUGAAGCUGCCUGUUCAUAUAAAACAGAGCACCCYCAUUUCACUAUUCCUUGCUGUGAGUCUAGAAAAUAUCAAAUGACUAUUCCGAAGGCUUUUGC